UGGCCGCUUUAAAGUUAUGUGCUCUGACAUGAGUAAAAGGUUUGCACUAAGACCCCUAAUUUUAUUCGAGUGAUUGGCCGGAUAGGUUUUCCUUGGCUGUAAUAUUUGUGUGCUCUUUCCCUUUCAAUAUUGUAUUGUAUGAAAUAUAUAAAGGACGUAAGGAGAAUAAAAGUGGUAAUUUAUGCAAAUUCUGUCUUUUUAGACAUGAUUGUUUUGGUUGUUACUUGGAGAGGACAAAAGCACGUUUUAUAUGCAU
rnacentral:lncRNA from 1 species